UACGAAGGGCCCAAGCGUUGUUCGGAAUCACUGGGCGUAAAGGGAGCGUAGGCGGCGUGGUAAGUCAGAUGUGAAAUCCCGGGGCUCAACCCCGGAACUGCAUCCGAUACUGCCAUGCUUGAGGGUUGGAGAGGUAGCUGGAAUUCUCGGUGUAGCAGUGAAAUGCGUGGAUAUCGAGAGGAACACUCGUGGCGAAGGCGAGCUACUGGACAACAUCUGACGCUGAGGCUCGAAGGCUAGGGGAGCAAAAGGG
rnacentral:rRNA from 1 species